UACGUAGGUGGCAAGCGUUGUCCGGAAUUAUUGGGCGUAAAGCGCGCGCAGGCGGUCCCUUAAGUCUGAUGUGAAAGCCCACGGCUCAACCGAGGAGGGUCAUUGGAAACUGGGGGACUUGAGUACAGAAGAGGAAAGCGGAAUUCCACGUGUAGCGGUGAAAUGCGUAGAGAUGUGGAGGAACACCAGUGGCGAAGGCGGCUUUCUGGUCUGUAACUGACGCUGAGGCGCGAAAGCGUGGGGAGCAAACAGG
rnacentral:rRNA from 1 species